CUUCUCAGCGAAAAUCCUCCCGGCCCAGACUGAAACACUGCGCCGCGAUCUCUGCACAAUCUAGUGCCCGACUUCCGCCUCCCUGACCCUGGGCGGCUCCCAGCCCUGGGAACGAAGCGAAGUCUCGGCCAGAGCCGCCUUCGGAGGGAGGAAAGGGGGAGACCGGUCUCCCUUUCACGGAGCCCCGCUAGGAAACUUGAAGGUCCACUGUCCUCUCCUGUCAGAGUCCUUCAUCCUCAGCCUCCUCUGCCCGUCAAAUCCCAGCUUCUCACAUCACCCCACCCCACCCCAUCCGGGGGUAAGAAGAUCACACACCGGCUCGUCACCGAGGGUUCAGCAGUGGAAAGGGGAAAUGCGCCUUCUCCAGCAGCCUCCCGGUGUUGAGGAUGACUGGAUUCCACUCCAGAAAUGAGGUGACGGAUGAGGCCAAUGUGGGAUCUGCAGUGUGGGAUUAGUACAUGUGUGUGGUUUAUGGUUGAUGAGACUCGGUGGCCAAAGGUCCUGUAUCUGAGCUUUAUUCGUAAUAAAAGUAUUA